CUCUUCGAGCAGCAAUUGGGUACUGACUCAGGAUGAAGGCGUGGCUCUUGAUUGGCUUUGACUCAUGCCUAUGAGACUGUGAGGAUCUCGUUUCCCUAGUAACGGAUUGGCACUGAGAUAGACCAAUGACUUAAAGGCGGCCGCCUAAGGGCACUUGCUGGCUCUCACCAUUAGCACUAUUGUCGGACAACAGUUUAAGAGAAAGCGAGAGGGGAAAGUAGCGCCCGUCGUGUACCUAAGAUCGUGUAAAAAGGCCGCACUGAAAAGUGCUGUUGAGUUUGAGAACAGAGAUUUCUACCCUGCUGUUCGUGGCAAGUGCUGCAGCGGGCUGGCCGGAUGGCCGGCUGGUGGGAGCUCGCAGAGGUCUUCCCCUUCUGUUGCUGCCAAGGAACCGUAGUCUGUAAAGUCUCCACUCUGGUUGGUCCUUAAUGCAACAUCCUGUGCGUCACCACCAUUGCCAUUUAGUGUUCCGAUAGCUGGGGGUGUGGGCGCUGCUUUCGUGUCGUUAUGUCUUUUUUUUUUUUUUAAUUUUUAUUUAUUUGACAUAGAAACAGCGAGAGAGGGAACAAAAGCAGGGGGAGUGGGAGAGGGAGAAGCAGGCUUCCCGCGGAGCAGGGAGCCGGAUGCGGGGCUCGAUUCCAGGACCCCGAGAUCAUGACCCAAGCCGAAGGCAGACGCUUAACAACUCAGCCACGCAGGCGCCCCGCGUCGUUACGUCUUUAAAAGGGAAAGAAACUGAGGUUCGGAGAGGUUUAUUGCCUAAAACAGCCAGGAAUUGAACACAGGUGCCUGGCAGGAUUAUUCUGUCCUGCGCCCUUAUAGACAGGCAUGACCACAUGCCCUGCUUUGGCCAACACAACGUGAGCAGAAGUGACACAUACCUCUUCCAGGAAGAGAAGUCUUUGGAGUUAGUGAUUAUUUGCUGAGGUCUUCCCUCCCCACACUAGCCCCCGUACUCAAUAUCAUUCGCUUGGGGAAUCUCCCUCAACCUGGGUCCCUGAGCAAAAAUCAUUUGCACAGAGCCAAUCCUCCAAACCGCCCAAACUGCAAUGGUCAUAUGACAUAAACAAGAAGGAAAUCUGUUGUUUUAAGCCAUUGAGGUUUUGUGAUGGUUUGUUGCCAUAGCAUUACCAGGCCUUUCUUGCCAGUUACAGAUAAGUUUCUAGAUUUUCCAGUGUUUUAGCAGACACUCAAAAUCUGGAUUAACACUGUUCUUUUUUAACAUUUUAUUAAUGGUAUAAAAGUGUUUGGUCCUCACUUUAUUUAUUUGGGUUUGUUUGUUUGUUUGUUUUGGAGAGAGAGAGCGUGCACACGAGUGGGGGCAGGGACAGAGGAAGAGAGAGGAUCUCAGGCAGACUCCAUGCCCAGCACGGAGCUUGAUGUGGGGCUCGAUCUCACCGCCCUGAGAUCAUGACCUGAGCUGAAACCCAGAAUGGGUCUUUCAACCGACUGAGCCACCCAGACGCCCUUUGGCUCUUACCUUUAAAUAUUUUAUAAUGAAAAUAUUCUUUCUAUGAGGACUAUAGUUGGGGCGCCUGGGUGGCUCAGUCGGUUAAGCAUCUGCCUUCGGCUCAGGUCAUGAUCCCCGGGGUCCUGGGAUCGAGCCCCACACCGGGCUCCCUGCUCAGCCAAGAACCUGCUUCUCCCUCUCCCUCUGCUGCCCCCCCUGCUCGUGUGCUGUCAAAUAAAUAAAAUCUUAAAAAAAAAAAAAGAACAAGAGGACUAUAGUUGGAUUUAUUCUUUUUUUAAACUAUUUGGAAUUUUUAUUAUUCAUAAAAAUACUUUUCUUUAAAAAAUGCUUUGCUUGGUCUUAAAGGAACAACUACAUUUACAUGUCAGUCUACAAAUAGAUUUUAAAUUGGAGUAAAAUAUACAGAACGUAAAAUUUACCAUUUUAACCAUUUUUAAGUGUACAAUUCUGUGGCAUUAAAAGUACAUUCACGCUGUUGUGCAACCAAACUCCGUGUUUGUAAAUGUUGUCAACUAAUCAAAAAAUAUUUUGAGCGCACUAGGAACUAAAUAAAAUAUGCUUGCAGACCAGCUUCACCCAAGCCGCAUCUCCGUCUGGUGCCAGGCUGCCUGGGCGAGGCCUGCACCCCAAGCCCUUGUGCUUUGCAGCCCCCCUCUUCCCUUGCAUGGGCUUCUCUGAAGGCCCUUUCAGCUCAGAACCUUUGAUCCCGAGCUGAGAGUUCCUUGGCAGAUAAAGCAAUGAGGCAGCAGCGUGCACCUGCGUUAUAACACAACAAACAGCCCCUUGGCAUUCUGGAGGGAGUAGACAACAGCUACAAAGGCCUUUCUUUGCAAAGCUUGACCCAGCAUCUACAGAAGGGUCACUCCAGUAGGUGGGGUCCAGGGUAGGGCAUACCAGGGAGAAGGCACCACCCCCUUGUCUGUGAGCCUGUCGUCUGCACAUGACUACUAUCCUCACACCAGCACUCUCAGCCAGAAAGGGCCCAUUUCCCAAGCCCACUGGUUUAGUGAUAAACUGACUUACCCAAGUUUACAAGGCUACUAAGGAGACUGCUGGGUAGUCUGGAACUCGGAAUUCCGGAAUUCUGUUUUUAAAAAUAUUUUUCUCUGCGAUUCCUAAUACAUAUUUAUUAUAGAAAAUAUGGCAAAGAGAAGUAGAAAAACAGAACUAAAAAUCACCUAUAAUAUUGGAAUGGGUCCGGGUAGUACACGUAGAUCUGAAGAUAUGAAAACAUAGUUAAUAAAUCUUCUUUGAGAGGCAAUCUGACCUAUCAAAAUUGAAAAUGAAUAGCUAUUCCACAGUAGGAAUUUAUUCUACGUAAACUUUUAAGCAAAGAUCUAUGUAUACGGACUGUCAUUACAUCAUCAUUAUUAGCAUUAAAAGAUUGGAAGCCACAUGUAUGUCUAUAAGUGGGGGACUGUAUCAAGAAUGUGUCAGGAGCAAGUACCAGAAAGUCUGAGUAGCAGUCGCUGAAAUUAAGAGGGGCUUACAUUUCUCAGCCAACCAGUCUGCAGGCAAGCUGCAGCUGAACACACAGAACC